CAAUAAAUCACUAAUCUCCCUA
rnacentral:miRNA from 12 species